rnacentral:rRNA from 1 species
GACAGAGGUGCCGAGCGUUAGGCGGAAUCACUGGGCUUAAAGCGUGUGUAGGCGGACCGUUAAGUACCUUGUGAAAUCCCACGGCUCAACCGUGGAACGGCUGGGUAUACUGGCGGUCUUUGAGCGCCUAGGGGCAGAUGGAACAAGUGGUGGAGCGGUGAAAUGCGUAGAUAUCACUUGGAACGCCAAAGGUGAAGACAGUCUGCUGGGGGCCUGCUGACGCUGAGACACGAAAGCCAGGGGAGCGAACGGG